rnacentral:rRNA from 1 species
GACGAACGCUGGCGGCGUGCCUAAUACAUGCAAGUUGAGCGCUGAAGGUUGGUACUUGUACCAACUGGAUGAGCAGCGAACGGGUGAGUAACGCGUGGGGAAUCUGCCUUUGAGCGGGGGACAACAUUUGGAAACGAAUGCUAAUACCGCAUAAAAACUUUAAACACAAGUUUUAAGUUUGAAAGAUGCAAUUGCAUCACUCAAAGAUGAUCCCGCGUUGUAUUAGCUAGUUGGUGAGGUAAAGGCUCACCAAGGCGAUGAUACAUAGCCGACCUGAGAGGGUGAUCGGCCACAUUGGGACUGAGACACGGCCCAAACUCCUACGGGAGGCAGCAGUAGGGAAUCUUCGGCAAGAGACGAAAGUCUGACCGAGCAACGCCGCGGGAGUGAAGAAGGGUUUCGGAUCGUAAAACUCGGUUGGUAGAGAAGAACGUUGGUGAGAGUGGAAAGCUCAUCAAGUGACGGUAACUACCCAGAAAGGGACGGCUAACUACGUG